rnacentral:rRNA from 1 species
CAUGACCUACGGGGCGCAGCAGUGAGGAAUAUUGGUCAAUGGGCGGAAGCCUGAACCAGCCAAGUCGCGUGAGGGAAUAAGGCCCUACGGGUCGUAAACCUCUUUUGCCGGGGAGCAAGGGCGGGGACGUGUCCCGGCCCGGAGAGUACCCGGAGAAAAAGCAUCGGCUAACUCCGUGCCAGCAGCCGCGGUAAUACGGAGGAUGCGAGCGUUAUCCGGAUUUAUUGGGUUUAAAGGGUGCGUAGGCGGGCUUUUAAGUCAGCGGUAAAAAUUCGGGGCCCAACCCCGUCCGGUCGUUGAACAUG